UGACACAGCCCAUGGACAGGGUGUUGGCACUGGGUGUACGUCAAGAACCUUACCAGUCCUUGGCAUCCUAUGAACUUUCCAUAGAUGGAUUGGUGCUUUCUGUCAGCAUUAAGACAGGAGCUGCAAGGCGGUCGUCAGCUAGCAUUGUGAGAUGUUGGUUUAAGUCCCAUAACAAGCGCAACCCUUGUCCUUAGUUACCAGCACGUUAUGGUGAGCGCUCUAAGGAGACUGCCAGUGACUAUCCGGAGUAAGAUGGGGAUGACUUCAAGUCAUCAUAGCCCAUACGGCCUGGGCUACACACGUGCUCCAAUGGUCGGUACAGAGGGUUAAAAUCCAUAGAUAGAGUUUAUCUCUGCACAAACGUAUGGUAUAUCGGAUAGCAGUGUGCAACUCUUUGUAAAUACAAGUCGAGAAUCGGCUAGUAGUUCGCGAA
rnacentral:rRNA from 1 species